rfam:Oesophagostomum dentatum strain OD-Hann O_dentatum-1.0_Cont2951.4, whole genome shotgun sequence.
GCUUCCGUGGCGCAGUAGGCAGUGCGUCAGUCUCGUAAUCUGAGGGUCUUGAAUUCGAGCCCCACCGGAAGCA